UGGCCUUAUUGGCUGAAGUCAAACAUAGCUAUCAAAAAUCCAGUUUCAGUGCCAUCUGGAUCCUUGCUGCUCAAGAGGCAGCGUUUGGCGGGAAAACUGUUUUAUCAAUGGGCAGAAGCUAUCGGCAAUAGGUUGGAGGAAAUGUUAGUGGAGGAUAAGAAACAUUUGGAUACCGUUGUCAGCCUGGUGACAGAUGCUGACGGCCAGAGGGAGCUGCUGCAGCAAGAUGAGGAGGAAGACUUCCUAGAUGAAGCAAGUAUUCGCCUGCCCGACAAAACGAUUGGAGCCGAUUGUCCACGUGCGUUGCGAAUGGUAGCGUGCGUCCUGCUCUUCGAAAUCACAGCGUUCUUGAGAGAAACCUACCAGAAUCUUCAAAAAUCUUGCCGUUCCUCGCUAAAAGAAAGAGGACCUUGGGACCGUGUAUACAGGGAAGCGAAUCGCCGUUGGAGUAUGGCAUUAUCGAGUAUGGGACACUCGCAAGCUUCGGCUCAGAGCCUGCAGUCUAUUGCUGGGGUUGAGACUGAGAGGAAAAUAUCCUUCGUGUUGCAUGAGCCCGAGAACGUGUCUGGCGGCAGUAACGUUACGUUAGCAGAUGCCAUACCGGGUUCAGUCGAUGAUAAAAAGGGUCGUACAUUGACCUCACGCGGAAAAACGGGGAUUCACAGACGUAUCACUCAACAGGCGCAUGCUGCUUACGGUUCCUUCAAGCGACGCUCCAUAAAAUUACGACAGAAAGAUACCCGGGAAACU